rnacentral:rRNA from 1 species
GAUGAACGCUGGCGGCGUGCCUAAUACAUGCAAGUCGAGCGAACGGACGAGAAGCUUGCUUCUCUGAUGUUAGCGGCGGACGGGUGAGUAACACGUGGAUAACCUACCUAUAAGACUGGGAUAACUUCGGGAAACCGGAGCUAAUACCGGAUAAUAUUUUGAACCGCAUGGUUCAAAAGGAAAGACGGUCUUGCUGUCACUUAUAGAUGGAUCCGCGCUGCAUUAGCUAGUUGGUAAGGUAACGGCUUACCAAGGCAACGAUGCAUAGCCGACCUGAGAGGGUGAUCGGCCACACUGGAACUGAGACACGGUCCAGACUCCUACGGGAGGCAGCAGUAGGGAAUCUUCCGCAAUGGGCGAAAGCCUGACGGAGCAACGCCGCGUGAGUGAUGAAGGUCUUCGGAUCGUAAAACUCUGUUAUUAGGGAAGAACAUAUGUGUAAGUAACUGUGCACAUCUUGACGGUACCUAAUCAGAAAGCCACGGCUAACUACGUG